GGUCAAGCUUCCAAGAAAAGCCCUAUACCCGUUAAGGCAUGAUGGCCUGUACCCGAAACCGACACAGGUGGGGUGGUAGAGAAUACCGAGGGGCGCGAGAUAACUCUCUCUAAGGAACUCGGCAAAAUGGCCCCGUAACUUCGGGAGAAGGGGUGCCACCGCAAGGUGGUCGCAGUGAAGAGGCCCAGGCCACUGUUUACCAAAAACACAGGUCUCCGCUAAGUCGCAAGACGAUGUAUGGGGGCUGACGCCUGCCCAGUGCCGGAAGGUUAAGGAAGCUGGUCAGCGCAAGCGAAGCUAGCGACUGAAGCCCCGGUGAACGGCGGCCGUAACUAUAACGGUCCUAAGGUAGCGAAAUUCCUUGUCGGGUAAGUUCCGACCCGCACGAAAGGCGUAACGAUCUGGGCGCUGUCUCGGAGAGAGGCUCGGCGAAAUAGAAUUGUCUGUGAAGAUGCGGACUACGUGCACCCGGACAGAAAGACCCUAUGAAGCUUUACUGUAGCUUGGUAUUGUGCUCGGGCUCGGAAUGCGCAGGAUAGGUGGGAGGCUAUGAACCAUUGCUUGUGGGUGAUGGUGAGCCACUGGUGAGAUACCACUCUUUCCGAGCUAGAGUUCUAACAGCCACCCGUUAUCCGGGGGCUGGACAGUAUCAGGUGGGCAGUUUGACUGGGGCGGUCGCCUCCUAAAAGGUAACGGAGGCGCGCAAAGGUUUGCUCAGGCUGGUUGGAAAUCAGCCGACGAGUGUAAAAGCAGAAGCAAGCUUGACUGUGAGACCUACAAGUCGAACAGGGAGGAAACUCGGCUUUAGUGAUCCGACGGUUCUGCGUGGAAGGGCCGUCGCUCAACGGAUAAAAGUUACUCUAGGAUAACAGGCUGAUCUCCCCCAAGAGUUCACAUCGACGGGGAGGUUUGGCACCUCGAUGUCGGCUCAUCGCAACCUGGGGCUGAAGUCGGUCCCAAGGGUUGGGCUGUUCGCCCAUUAAAGCGGUACGCGAGCUGGGUUCAGAACGUCGUGAGACAGUUCGGUCCAUAUCCGGUGCAUGCGCAGGAAUAUUGAGAGGAUUUCUCCCUAGUACGAGAGGACCGGGAGGAACGCACCUCUGGUGUACCAGUUAUCGUGCCAACGGUAAACGCUGGGUAGCCAUGUGCGGAGAGGAUAACCGCUGAAAGCAUCUAAGUGGGAAGCCCACCUCAAGAUGAGUAUUCCCAUGGGGUAACCCAGUAAGGUCACGGGAAGAACACCCGUUGAUAGGCUCUACGUGGAAGCGCAGUAAUGUGUGAAGCGGAGGAGUACUAAUAGACCGAGGGCUUGACC
rnacentral:rRNA from 1 species